ACCUCCUGCCACUGCCAUAGCUACUGCUGCUGCUGGAACCGCCAUAGCCACCUUGGUUUCGUGGUUUAGCAAAGUACUGGCCUCCACCACCAUAAGAGCCAGAGCUCCUGCCUCCAAAGUUUCCUCCCUUCUUCAGUCCAAAAUUUGAAGACUGAUUGUUGUAAUUGCCAAAAUCAUUGUAGCUUCCACCACCUACAAAAUUGCUUCCACCGCCAAAGCUGUCUCUGCCUCCUCCGUUGUUAUAGCUGUCAUAGCUGCCACUCCCACCAUAGCCACUGCCCUGGUUUCCAUAACCCUGUCCACCCCUUCCAUAGCCUCUGCUUCCUCCAGAGUAACCAGGGCCACCUCCUCCAUAACCACCGUCAUUGCCAAAUCCAUUAUAGCCAUCCCCACUGCCACCAUAUCCACCACCACCACGGCUGCCACCAAAGCCACCACGACCACUGAAGUUCCCUCCUCGACCAAAAUUGUCAUUGCCACCAAAACCGCCUCCACGACCACCACCAAAGUUUCCAGAACCACUGCGACCUCUCUGGCUGGAUGAAGCACUAGCCAUCUCUUGCUUCGACAGAGCCUUUCUUACUUCACAGUUGUGGCCAUUCACAGUAUGGUAUUUCUGAAUAACAAUCUUAUCCACAGAGUCAUGGUCAUCAAAGGUAACAAAAGCAAAGCCCCUCUUUUUCCCACUGCCUCUGUCAGUCAUAAUUUCUACCACUUCAAUCUUCCCAUACUGCUCAAAAUAAUCUCGUAGGUGAUGUUCUUCAGUGUCUUCUUUAAUACCACCAACAAAGAUCUUUUUCACAGUUAACUGGGCACCUGGUCACUGAGAAUCUUCUCUUGAGACAGCUCUCUUAGGUUCCACAACUCUUCCAUCCACCUUGUGUGGUCUUGCAUUCAUGGCAGCAUCCACUUCUUCCACAGUGGCGUAUGUGACAAACCCAAAGCCCCUGGAUCUCUUGGUGUUUGGAUCUCUCAUUCCCACACAGUCGGUUAGUGUUCCCCAUUGCUCUAAAUGGCUCCUCAGACUCUUGUCGGUUGUUUCGAAGCUCAGCCCUCCAAUAAAGAGCUUCCACAGCUGUUCUGGCUCCUUGGGAGACUCGGACUUAGACAU
rnacentral:lncRNA from 1 species